UCCAGGUCGACAGUUUGCUCCUCUCCCAGAGGUUCAACCACAACAAGGUGCCGGCCCACGUACAGGUCGACAGUUUGCUCCUCUACCAGAGGUUCAACCAAAUAUCUGCCCAUGUCGAGUUCGACAGGGAGCUCCGACACCAGGCCCUCAACCAC